ensembl:snoRNA U8 U8 small nucleolar RNA
UCAUCAGGUAGGAUAAUUGUUACCUGACCCUCUAUUUAGACGGCAGAUACAUCAUGAUGAUUAGAAUUUGCAUUAUUUAUGAUUAACAUCUCUGCAUGAUUAGGGCUCGAAACACCCUAGUUGCUCUUAUCUGAU